GCGAAUGGCUAAUCACUAUGCUAAUAUUGGCGAGAGACCGAUAGCGAACAAGUACCGUGAGGGAAAGAUGAAAAGAACUUUGAAAAGAGAGUUAAACAGUACGUGAAAUUGUUGAAAGGGAAACGAUUGAAGUCAGUCGUGCUGGCGCGAAAUCAACCAUCUCGUCUUGAGGUCGCAUGGCGCGACGAGCCUCAAAACCGUCACGAAGCGUGAACUCUUGACGAGAAGGUGCACUUUCGUGUCCGCUGGUUAACAUCAAUUUCGACCGUCAUAAAAAGGCUGGAGGGAUGUGGCUCCUUCGGGAGUGUUAUAACCUUUAGCGGAAUGUGGUGGUCGGGAUUGAGGAUUGCAACGAAUACCUUCAGGGCUGUUCCACCUGGCUUCUCAUUGGUAUCCUGGUGACGACAGCUUGCUGACUUUGUUAGGAUUCGCCUCUGAACAGGCUAGAGUGUGAGCAAAUUCGUUAAGGUGUUUUGACGUAAACGACA
rnacentral:rRNA from 1 species